CUACGUGCCAGCAGCCGCGGUAAUACGUAGGUGGCAAGCGUUGUCCGGAAUUAUUGGGCGUAAAGCGCGCGCAGGCGGAUUGGUCAGUCUGUCUUAAAAGUUCAGGGCUUAACCCCGUGAUGGGAUGGAAACUGCCAAUCUAGAGUAUCGGAGAGGAAAGUGGAAUUCCUAGUGUAGCGGUGAAAUGCGUAGAUAUUAGGAAGAACACCAGUGGCGAAGGCGACUUUCUGGACGAAAACUGACGCUGAGGCGCGAAAGCCAGGGGAGCGAACGGGAUUAGAUACCCCGGUAGUCCUGGCCGUAAACGAUGGGUACUAGGUGUAGGAGGUAUCGACCCCUUCUGUGCCGGAGUUAACGCAAUAAGUACCCCGCCUGGGGAGUACGACCGCAAGGUUGAAACUCAAAGGAAUUGACGGGGGCCCGCACAAGCGGUGGAGUAUGUGGUUUAAUUCGACGCAACGCGAAGAACCUUACCAGGUCUUGACAUUGAUGGACAGAACUAGAGAUAG
rnacentral:rRNA from 1 species